AAUCCGUGUUGUAGGCAGUGUCGAAUUCAAAUCCUUAUAUCCUUCUCAUGCUUCAUAGAGUGAUUCAAAAUCAUGCUGCUUGAAUUGAUCAAUCUCACUCUUGAGUUG